GCGACCAUGGUGGAAUUGGUAGACACGCAGCACUAAGGAUGCUGUGGGGCAACCCAUGGGGGUUCGAGUCCCCUUGGUCGCACCA
rnacentral:tRNA from 1 species